AUUAAUGGAGAGUUUGAUCCUGGCUCAGGACGAACGCUGGCGGCGUGCCUAACACAUGCAAGUCGAGCGAUUGAGAGGUGAGAGGUGAGAGGUUAGAAGUGAGAU
rnacentral:rRNA from 1 species